AUGGAUCGCAACCGCCACCGCGAUGAGGACCGCCACCGACGCCGCCGCCACGGCAGCGACGGACAUCACCACCACCACCACAAGGCUCGGGAUUCCGUGGGGCGCCGCGAUUCGGCCGACCGCGAGCCGCUGCCGCCGCCGUCACGGAAACGCAAGGACCACGACAGCAGCGAGCCCGGCCGGGAAGGGGGGAAGCGACCUAGGGCCUCAGUGGAUCCGCCUCCUCGGAAGGAGGAAAGGCCACGGCGAGAGUCAGGUGCAAAUGGAGAUCCACAGCGCGGCGCAGCGCCUAAUGGUGGUGCUCUCAAUUCUGCACCUGCUGUUGUGGUGCCAUCUGCUGACCCUGUUCCUUCAAAGGUAUAUUCGAUCACUGCCACCAAUGAAAAUGGGGGAGUUAGUAUUAGGUCUGACGAAGUUACCGGAAAAUCUAGUGAAGAUGGAACUGCAAAUUCAUCUGCUGGCAGAAGUAGCAACUUAAGUCUUGAUGCUUUAGCGAAAGCUAAAAAGGCUUUGCAACUGAAGAAGGAAUUAUCAGAAAAACUCAAGAGAGUACCUGUGAUUCCUUCACAAGAGAUUGCUACUAAGAGGGGAUUUCGCCAGGAUCCACAGUUUGCACCUUCUAUCAACAUGCUCCCUGGUACAUCCAGUGGACUGAAUGUUCCUCAAAGACCUGCCAAGGCCCCUGUUCUCCGUCUUGAUGCUCAAGGUAGGGAAAUCGAUGAGCAUGGAAAUGUUAUCAGCAUGACCAAGCCAAGCAACCUGAGUACUCUGAAGGUCAACAUUAACAAGCAGAAGAAGGAUGCAUUCCAGAUUAUCAAACCAGACUUGGAGUCGCUUGCAAAAUCCACUGUUCAUUUUGAUGAAAGGAUGGGCAUCAACCCAACCAAGCUCCUUCGUCCUAAAAGGCCAGGAUUCCAGUUUAUUGAGGAAGGCAAACUUUCGAGGGAGGCUGAAUUGCAGAGGAUUAAGAAUCAAUUUGGUGAAGCACAAGCCAAAGAGCAUAAAGUAAAUCAAGCUCAUCUUGCCGAGGCAAAGGUGGAAGUUGACAUGAACCCAAAGCUAAUUGAAAUUGCUCCUGGUGGAAGGCCUCCGAAGCAGAAGCAGAAGGAAGAGAUUCCGGAUAUUGAGCAAUGGGACUCAAAAAUCCUGAUAUCUGCCACGUACGAGGACAUCUCCUUGGAAAAGCUUAAUAUGGAUAAGAUCACCAUCUACGUGCAACAUCCAGAGCCAUUGGAACCACCGGCUAAGCCCAUGACACCACCGCCUCAGCCACUUAAGCUUACUAACAAUGAACAGAGGAAGUAUAGAACACAGAGGCGCCUCGCUACGGAAAAAGAUAGGCAAGAAAUGAUUAGGCAAGGCCUCUUAGAGCCACCAAAGCCCAAGGUCAAGAUGAGCAACCUUAUGAAAGUACUUGGUGCUCAAGUACACAGGACCCGACACGCAUGGAGAUGGAAAUACGAAUGGCUGCUGCAGAGCGUGAGCAGGCUCACGUCGACCGCAACAUUGCCCGCAAACUCACGCCAUCUGAGCGCCGCGAGAAAAAGGAGAGGAAGCUUUUUGAUGAUCCUGACACAGUAG
rnacentral:rRNA from 1 species